UUCCCCGCGGCGCUUUCCGCGGGGAACUGUGUGAGGGGUGGGGGAAACUUUGAAAGUUGGAUGCUGCAGACCCGAUGACGCAACUAAGACACUGAGAGGUGAAGUAACUGCCAGGAAGGCCAGGAUCUGGGCUUUGCAAUCAGGGUUCUUCUUUUGCUGCAUCUGGAGGCAUGGGUAGCAAGAAACUAAGACGAGUGGGUUUAUCACAAGAGCUGUGUGACCGUCUGAGCAGACAUCAGAUUGUUACCUGUCGGGACUUUUUAUGUCUUUCUCCACUGGAGCUUAUGAAAAUGACUGGCCUUAGUUAUCGAGGUGUCCAUGAACUUCUGUGUAUGGUCAGCAGGGCCUGUGCCCCACAGAUGCAAACGGCUUAUGGGAUAAAGACACAAAGGUCUGCUGCUCUCUCGCCAGCAUUCUUGCCUACAACCCUUUCUGCUUUGGAUGAGGCCCUGCAUGGUGGCGUAGCUUGUGGAUCCCUCACAGAGAUUACAGGUCCACCAGGUUGUGGAAAAACUCAGUUUUGUAUAAUGAUGAGCAUUUUGGCUACAUUACCCAUUGACAUGGGAGGAUUGGAAGGAGCUGUUGUGUACAUUGACACAGAGGCAGCAUUUAGUGCUGAACGACUGGUUGAGAUAGCAGAAUCUCGUUUUCCCAGCUAUUUUAACAAUGAAGACAAAUUACUUUUGACAAGCAGUAACGUUCAUCUUUACCGGGAACUCAGUUGUGAUGAGGUUCUACAAAGGGUUGAAUCUUUAGAAGAAGAAAUUAUUUCAAAAGGAGUUAAACUUGUGAUUAUUGACUCUGUUGCUUCUGUGGUAAGAAAGGAGUUUGAUACACAACUUCAAGGCAACAUGAGAGAAAGGAACAAGUUCUUGGCAAGAGAAGCAGCUUCCUUGAAGUAUUUGGCUGAGGAAUUUUCAAUCCCAGUUAUCUUGACGAAUCAAAUUACCACCCAUCUGAGUGGAGCCCCAGCUUCUCAGGCAGACCUGGUGUCUCCAGCUGAUGAUUUGUCCCCGUCUGAAGGCCCUUCUGGAUCCAGCUGUGUGACAGCUGCACUAGGAAACACCUGGAGUCACAGUGUGAACACUCGGCUGAUUCUCCAGUACCUUGGUUCAGAGAGAAGACAGAUUCUCAUUGCCAAGUCUCCUCUGGCUCCCUUUACCUCAUUUGUCUACACCAUCAAGAAGGAAGGCCUGGUUCUUCAAGGCCAACAGAGGCCAUAGGGACACUAUGACCUUUGUCUAGAGCCGAUGGGGGCACGAUUUGUGAAAUGAAACAGGACUGUGCUGCUUGGAAGAAGGAAACGGAAGCCAACAUAAUGGGGAUUAAUUAGUUGAUUGCUGUUGAGAUGGUAACAGAUUUGCCCUCAUACCAUUGAGCCAGCCAUCUCAGACCUAGCAGGGAAGGAUCUGAGAACUCAUCGGGGGUUUGUCCAGCGUCUCCAACACCAUCAUCCCAACUCUACAGUCAUCGCCACUCUAACAGCUUGAAAGUGAUGCAAAGAUGGAGCAGAAGCCAGUUUGGAUUUAUCCCAGUUCUCUAGGCCCCUCUGGGGUUAAUCAGCAACCACCUAUCUUCGUGUUAAUAACAUAAGCUUCUCUCACUAGAACACCUGGAGGAAACCCAUAGGAAGGCUUAGGAUGAAGCCAAUUUUGCAGUAAUUAUUCUGACCAUCACUCGUUUUAGCUGGGCUUAGACUCUCCAGACAAAACCAGCUUGCCGAGCCUAACCAAGCAGCUGGAUGGAUCUGCAGUUCUCAGUGUUCCUUAAGCUGUCAUGGGCCUUGCUAAUACUUUCCAUGCCCACAUCUCAGCUCAAAGUCUCCUUCUACUGUGAACUUCAGGCAACACCUCCCUAUUUUAGGUACACGGGGUUUAGUGAAAUGUCCUGAGUGCAUCUCACUGGUGGAAUUCUUUAGUGGCAUCUUCCCAGCCCUUUCCCUGCCCUCCCAGCCCAUCCUGAUGGUGGUAUUCACACUUCUGGAGAAAUAAUAGACCUUCUUAAUGGGGAUUGCUCACCACUUUUCCUAGUAACUAACCCAAAUGGCCUUGGGUGUUAGGUGAUUGCCUCUGCAGGGUGAAAGGGCCAGGGUCUGGGAAAGUGGACAGGGUGGAUGGGGUACACAUGGAAAACAGUUCCUUGCUGUAUUCGUCUGCAAAGGCUGCCAUAACAGAACACCACAGAAUGGCUUAAACAACAGAAAUUUAUUUUCUCAUAGUUCUGGAGGCUGGAAGUCCAAGAUCAAGGUGCCAGCAGGUUUGGUUUUCCUUGAGACUUCCGUCCUUGGCUUGCAGGCGAACACCUUCUUACUGGGUCCUCACAUGACCUUUCCUUUGUGUGUGCUGCUAGUGUCUCUUCCUCUUCUUAUAAGGAUCCUAGUCUUACUGGAUUAGAGUCCUGCUCUUAUGACCUCAUGUAACCUUAAUUACCUCCUUUUAAAGGCCCUGUCUCCAAAUACAGUCAUAUUGGGGCUUAGGGCUUCAACCUAUGAAUUUGGGGGGGGACACAGUUCAGUCCCUAACACCUGCCAUAACUCUGUUUCCUUCAAUAGAUCCUUUCCCAUCCUCUGAUGCCGCCCUUCUAAUCCUGAGUGGGAGAGAAGUAGAUACUGGUCAAGAAAUGGCAGGUGUGACUCUGUGCAGUCUGUUUGAAAAUAGCUCCGCUAGGGAGGGAGGGUGACUGAGGUAGACAGAGUGAAAAGAGAGAUGGAUGGAUACAUGAAGGGAUGGUUGGAUGGAUAGACAGAUGGAUGAAUACAUGACUUAGGUAGUACAUUGACAGCACCAGGACAGACAUUACGUUCUAUUUCUUUGAAGUUGUGGCUUUUUACAGUACAGGGGCUGCAAAUUCAAAUGUCAUGCUAGACAGCUAACAGAGUCCUAAAAGGAGGCCAGGUACAAUAAUAGGGAGUAGUGGGGACUGUGACAAAAUGGAAAAAGAACACCCUGCCUAAAGGGGCAGCAUGUGCUCAGCUCCAGCCAAUUGUUACUUUGUGGGAUGCCCACCUAAUGUUGCCAGAACUUCUGACUUUUUAAGGGAAGCCAGAAUCUGGAUUUUCAGAUGAAAUCUUUCUUUAAAUAAAUCUUUAAAUUAUGGCAACUAAUGCAAAAAUUAUAAAAUACUGUGUGGGUCAAAUAAACACAUUUACAGUCUGAAAUGAAUCCUGGAUGCUGCCAGAUUUCUACUCUUAGAAUACUAGAAAGGUGUCUGUAAUGUCAUCAUGUGAGGAGGUGGGUGUUCAGGAGCUCGGGCUCAUGAGUACACUGCCUGGGUUCAUGUUCCAAUCUACCACCUACUAGCAUUGUAAUCUUGGGCAAGUCACCCAGGUAACUCACAGUGCUGUAAAGAUGAAAUUAGUUAAUCCAUGUAGUGCCCAGAACAAUGCUUACUGCCUAGUAAGAAAGCAAUAACUGAGCCAGAAUUAUUAGGCAGCAUCUCUAAACCUUGUGGUUUCCUCAUCUGUAAAAUGGGGGCAACACUUGCCUUUCCUAGCCCCCAAGGGAUUGUUGUGGGAGUAAAAGAAGAAUAUACGUGAAAGGGCUUGCCAAGAGGGGCUUGCGCGUUGCUGAGAAAUAUAGCAUGCGUUGCUCACGUUACUGUGCCUAACAAGGAGGCUCAGCCUUCCCAGAGCAGGGCUGGGAAUCCCUGGGAGGAGGAGGUCAGCAGUAAUUAGAAAUGGUCCUGUGUCCUUCUAAGGGUCAUUUGGCCAUUUUGGUGUCUUAGAAUUUGGUGAGUUUUGCUUUCUUAUUAUGAAAUUUUAAAACAUUCAGAAAAGUAGCAAAAAUAGUAUAAUGAGCACCCAAGUACCCUUGUCUAGAUUUAGUCAUUGUUAGCAUUUGCCGUAUGCGCUUCAUCUUGGUGAGUAUUCCUGGCAGAGAUACAAUCAAGGAGAUGCCAAUGAUUGAGGCCUACCCGUACCGAGCAGGAGCCGAGAGCCUGCACUACCUCAGGAAGUCCUUAUUUUUGCAAGAAAGCAAGACCCAGUCAGCUGUAGAUGGUUGGUUCUUUUGGGAUAGGACCCCAAAGAAGGGAUUUUGGGCAAGAUAGUUUGUUUUAGAUGAUACCUUCGUACCACCUUAAAGAAAGUGAUAUAAACUGGGACACAGAUUGUUUUAUUAUUUAUAAGAUUUUCAUUUAUUGCUUUUUAAGGUUUUUUUGCAAAGAGAAUGUAUUCAUGUAUUACUCAUGUAAUUGAAAACUAAACAUUUCUAAAGAGACUUUCCUGUAGAAAUGUCUCUGGCAUAAAAAAUUCAGGAGUUGAAACUGCGGUGGAUCUGUGAGAAGCCCAGUCAAAUCACGGUGAUGAAAAGAAACGGUGGUCGCUGAAAAUGAAAGGUUUUAGGAGCAGAAACACUCAGACUGAAAGGAAGUAUAUGCCAAUUAUAAAGGGCUCUUUCUGUGAAAGCGUUUAAAAGAGUCUCUAAGACAUAUUGCCCCAUUUCUCAGCAGUAGCCAUUACUGCAUGUAAAUGCGAAGGCUUCUCCCUGGAAAGGAUGUCUUACAACGUGAAAGCAACUAAACUUUGCUUUAAAAUUCUAUUAUUCAGACCCUUCAUUAAUUUAAGCUGACAUUCCUCCUCAAUUGGGGCAAAUCAUCAAAGCUUUAUUGUAUUGAGAACCUUGAAUUCAGCAACAAAGAGUGUGGGCUUUGGAAGGAAGGGAGGGCGGAGAGCUCCUGAGAGCAAU